GAUUGAAGGACUUUCUUCGUUGGUAGUAAAUGAUACUAGCCAUUCUUGUCAACCGUUUCAAAGCAUCGUGCCACACAAAACCGCAACCUUUCUCGGCGACGAGGACGUGUAGCUGGACGCAUUCUUGUCGUCCAUUAGAAUUCGCGAGCAACGUAGCCAUGGACAGCACUCGAACUGCAUGCCUGUGGAGAUCUCUCGGCGAACAUGUUGAGGUGAGGAGCGUAAGUUCUUGAAACACUGGGGCAGGACCUCUGUAAAUCGCCAGGACGUCACGGCGGUGAUCUCUGUUUGGUGUUGCUACAAUUUGUUAUCCGAGAACGACGACGGUGCGAGCAAGUGUGGCUUCCCUUUGAGCAGAGGCAUGAAGAGAUUGAACUUGCGUCUCGGUGGAGCUGGACGUGAUCUUGUGAUACAAUCUCAAUGCCGUUAUUUUGUUCCUUCGUUGGAAGUGGAAUUUUUUAAAAAUGCUUGGCCUUUUUUUAUUCUUUUUCAGCUCCGAAGUCAAGAAGAAAACCUAUUGCUCUUCCUAUCUAUAUGAUUGUGUGACUUCUCGUGGACUCGAUGGUGUAUCUGGGGAAGAUUAAGGAGCUUCUACUUCCUGAAGUUUUAUAUUAGCAAAAAUACCGCUCGGGAUUUAGUGUUCCAAACCCAGUUUGAAUAUCUAAGUUUUAUCGAGAGAUUCUAUACAUCAAUAUAAACAUUUUGGUUUAAAGAACCUUUUAUUCAUCUUUUGAUUUGUUUUUGUCGAAUCCUUAAAAAUACUAUAGGGAUAAGAACCUACUUACUUGCUAUUUAUUAAUCACAAGAAAGAAGUCGAAAUCAAGCAUACUGAAUGGAAGCCCCCUUCAAUGUGAAGGUACCCUGUCCCCUCGGCACCAGCGUCACAACGAGCUUGUCCGCUGACUUUAGGCCCAGGAUCUCGACAUUAGCCUUGAUAGAGAAGGUGGUGUUCACGGUCUCGGUGUGCUCACCGAUCCCGAGCAUGAAGUGGGGGACGUUGGAAUAAGUGCCCACGUACUCGGCACAGCUGACGCGCGUGUUCUUGUUGGCCUCGGGCAGGUUGAUGAACGCGUUGAAGCUGAUGGGGGAUUGCAUGUUAAUCUCCAUGCCCUCCAGCACCAGGAUCUCGUCACAAGCGCUGCCUUUGGGCUGAUCCACCGUGAUCGUCACCGGCUCCACCCCAACUUCCAAGGCCUUGGGGUUCUCAGCUGAUGCUUUCACCAGCCGAUACUCAUACGACGAUCCACUCCAGGGCGUCUGUUUCAGUGGCUUGGGCUCGUAGGCGGUCCAGCUCUUGUCGUCAGGCAUCGCCUGGUACUUGUACUUGAGCAUCUUCUCGCUGUUGAGGGAAUCUUUCACCUUGACGCGAACGAGAUCUUGGUUCUCGUCAAAGAAGAGGAACUCGGUGUUGAGGUAGUCCGAGUCUGUGAAGUCCUUGUUUCCCAGAGACCUCCACACGUCCCACAUCCGAUCGACGUUACCGUGGUGGCUGUAGAAGAGAGGGUCUCUACCGGCCGAGUAGAAGUUGCCCAUGUCCUCGAAAUUCGGCUGGUAGGGGCUGCCGCCAAAUAUGUGCACAGCAUUAUGUGGCGCCCUCUCCACGCCCCCUGGGCCAUUCUUGCUGCCGCUGCCUUUCCUGCAAGUAUAUAUGGCUGCAAGUAUAUAUGGAAGCGCAUGGGAAUGGACGUACCUGAUGGGGUGGCCAAAGAACGCGUCCGGCUGCUUCACCUUUGCGACGUUGUUGUACAUGAUUGAGAGGUUGUCCUCGCGGAUCUGCUCGUCGCUCUUGUCAUCAGAGCCGGGCGAGUAGAUGAGGUCCACCCGUGUGGGCUCAUAGUGACUCGUGUUGCGCUUUGCGUCGCAGAGGGCGGUCUCGCGGCGAAACAUGUCUGGGAUGUACCUCCCGCCUUCCUGGUCCCAGCUCCAGAAUGGGAGAGCAAAACUAGGAUCCCCGAUCAGGCUCCCCAAGAUCUUCUCGUGGAAGUAGAGAUACCAGCGAUGCCACGGCAGGAAGAGCCAGUUGAAGUGGAUCUGGAGCGUCUGCUUUGGGGCGCCCUCCUGGCGGUAGCCAUAGCUGCAGUAGGCGCAGUGGACGUUGGCCUGCUGACGUAAGCUGCGCGGGUCGUCCGGGGCGAGGGCGCGCAUCUUGGCGUAGGCCUCGUUGUACUUGGCGAUGUAGUCCUUGUCGACGAGGUGGGCGGCGGGGCGGACGCGCAUCUGGCCUGAGUCGGGCUUGAAAUCGAUGGUGGCGCGCUUGGGCUUUGGGGGGCAGCACACCCGGAUGAUGUCGUCGCCGACGCUGGGGAAGUGGCAGUGCUUGAACGAGGGCAGUCCUAUCGGAUCCGCCAGCGCGUGGCUGUCCACUGAUGAGGCGAGAGACGCACCACCGGCAAUGGCCCCGGCCAGGAGCUCGCGGCGAUCGAUCGAGGGCGUCACAGGGGAGGAGUUAGAGUUACACGCAUUGGCUUCUUUCCUGGCGUUGGCGGCGAUCUUGAGCGGACGCGUGCGGGACGGGCGCUGGAGCUCGAGGCGAUCGAUCGACAGUGCCACCAUCCCAGACAUGCUCGGUAGCGAAUACAUUGUCAAAGGAGGCAGCUAUACAACACAUAGCAGUUGAUACUGGCGUUUAUAGGGGCGCUAUUGCAUGGCUCUCGUGUCUAAUGUGAACACUUCCGGAUUUUUAUGCUGAUUGAAUUUAAUAAACCAAUUAUUAAGUAUCAUUGUUAGUCAAGUGGGACACUACAAGUGUCCAACUUGAUUAACAUCACUUAGUCACUUAAAAUGAUAUUUGAUAAUGGCUGCUGGCACUGAGGAAUUUGUCAAUGGAGGAUUUCUUCUAUCACAUAUGAGGGUCCCUUCGAUCCUUUGUUUCUUGUGCAUUGACGGUUGGGAUGGAAGGCUUUAGGAUUGCUGGCCCAAGACGCUCCAGAAUUUGGAGAUGCACGUUUUUCUCGAGAGCUGGAGGAGACCUCAAAGUCCAAUAUCUAAGUUUUAUCGAGAGAAUCUAUAAAUCAAUAUAAACAUUUUGGUUCAAAGAACCUUUUGUUCAUCUUUUGAUUUGUUUUUGUGGAACCGUUAAAAAUACUAUAGGAACUUUCAGAAGAACCUACGCAGCAACUUGCUAUUUAUUAAUCACAAGAAAGAAGUCGAAAUCAAGCAUACUGAAUGGAAGCCCCCCUGAAUGUCAAGCUACCGUCUCCCCUCGGCACCAGCGUCACAACGAGCUUGUCCGCUGACUUUAGGCCCAAGAUCUCGACAUUAGCCUUGAUAGAGAAGGUGGCGUUCACGAUCUCGGUGUGCCCCUUACCGAUGUCGGACAUGAAGUGGGGAACGUUGGAAUAAGUGCCCACGUACUCGGCACAGCUGACGCGCGUGUUCUUGUUGGCCUCGGGCAGGUUGAUGAACGCGUUGAAGCUGAUGGCGGAUCGCAUGUCAAUCUCCAUGUCCUCCAGCACCAGGAUCUCGUCACAAGCGCUGCCUUUGGGCUGAUCCACCGUGAUCGUCACCGGCUCCGCUUCAACUUUCAAGGCCUCAGGGUUCUCAGCUGAUGCUUUCACCAGCCGAUACUCAUACGACGAUCCACUCCAGGGCGUCUGUUUCAGUGGCUUGGGCUCGUAGGCGGUCCAGCUCUUGUCGUCAGGCAUCGCCUGGUACUUGUACUUGAGCAUCUUCUCGUUGUUGAGGGAAUCUUUCACCUUGACGCGAACGAGAUCUUGGUUCUCGUCAAAGAAGAGGAACUUGGUGUUGAGGUAGUCCGGGUCUGUGAAGUCCUUGUUUCCCAGAGACCUCCACACGUCCCACAUCCGAUCGACGUUACCGUGGUGGCAGUAGAAGAGAGGGUCUCUACCGGCCGAGUAGAAGUUGCCCAUGUCCUCGUUAUUGUGCUCGUCGGGGCUGCCGCAAAAUAUGUGCACAGCAUUAUGUGGCGCCCUCUCCACGCCCCCUGGGCCAUUUAUGCUGCUGCUGCCUUUCCUGCAAAGUAUAUAUGGCUGCUAAAAUGGAGCGCAUGCAUGGGAAUGCACGUACCUGAGGGGGUAGCCAAAGAACGCGUCCGGCUGCUUCACCUUUGCGACGUUGUUGUACAUGACUGAGAGUUUGUCCUCGCGGAUCUGCUCGUCGCUCUUCUUAUCAGAGCCGAGCGAGUAGAUGAGAUCCACCCGUGUGGGCUCAUAGUGACUCGUGUUGCGCUUUGCGUCGUAGAGGGCGGUCUCGCGGCGAAACAUGUCUGGGAUGUACCUCCCGCCCUCCUGGUCCCAGCUCCAGAAUGGGAGCGCAAAACCAGGAUCCCCGAAGUAGAGAUACCAGCGGUGCCACGGCAGGAAGAGCCAGUUGAAGUGGAUCUGGAGCGUCUGCUUUGGGGCGCCCUCCUGGCGGUAGCCAUAGUUGCAGUAGGCGCAGUGGACUUUGGCCUGAUGACGUAAGCUGCGCGGGUCGCCCCGGCUGAGGGCGCGCAUCUUGGCGUAGGCCUCGUUGUACUUGGCGAUGUAGUCCUUGUCGACGAGGUGGGCAGCGGGGCGGACGCGCAUCGGGCCUGAGUCGGGCUUGAAGUCGAUGGUGGCGCGCUUGGGCUGUGGGGGGCAGCACCGCCGGUUGAUGUCGUCGCUGAUGGUGGCGCGGUGGCAGUGCUUGAACGAGGGCAGUCCGAUCGGAUCCGCCAGCGCGUGGCUGUCCACUGAUGAGGCGAGAGACGCACCACCGGCAAUGGCCCCGGCCAGGAGCUCGCGGCGAUCGAUCGAGGGCGUCACAGGGGAGGAGUUAGAGUUACAUGCAUUGGCUUCUUUCCUGGCGUUGGCGGCGAUCUUGAGCAGACGCGUGCGGGACGGGCGCUGGAGCUCGAGGCGAUCGAUAGACAGUGCCACCAUCCCAGACAUGCUCGGUAGCGAAUACAUUGUCAAAGGGGGCAGCUAUACAACACACAGCAGUUGAUACUUGCUUUUAAAGGGGCGCUCUUGCAUGGCUCUCGUGUCUAAUGUGGACGUUGCAACUCAUACCCAAGCUUGGAUGACUUUGCUGGCUCCGCAGCAUUACUAUGGACCUGAUCGAUUCAUUCAUCCGGUUUAGGAAAGUUGCAUGGAACCUUCUUGCUUCAAUGGCGUGCACGUCUUCGGCCCGCCACCUUCUUCCGGUGUCCAUCUUAUGUGAUCUGGUUCUCAGUUGUCAGUCACACGUACGGCAUUGGAAGCAUGAAACGCCAACGUUUAUGAGAAAUAUGAGAAUUCGAAUUGCUGCAAAAGAACAUGUAAAGUUUGAUCUUUUAGGCAUUGCUUCAAGAGACAAAACAAACAAUCCCCCUUGCUUAUACUAAAACAAUAUGAAAUUUUUUAAAGCCUGAUUUUAGGGUUUUUGAGCUUAUGGAGUGGGAGGAAGAGAGGAUAGUGCAUUUCUGCGUCGCCACGAGCGCCUGUGGAGAGCGCACGUCGUGGAAUUCUUCCAGGUAUGGCGCAUUGCGCGACUUUCCCAUUUGCGAGCUUAGAAAUUUAUGCCAAUGCAGGGGCGUUUGUGGGAGAUUCUGGACACGCAAUGGCUCCUGGCGCUGAGGAGUGCGUCGAUGGAGGAUCUUCUUCUCCUUCCAUCGCAUAUUUCCAAGGUGAGAGAGAGAGACUCUCGAUUCUUUGUUUCUCGCGCAUUAAUGGAUGGCAAGGAAUUGUGGCUUUAGGAUUGCUGGCCCAAGACGCUCCAGGAUUUUCUUGCAGACGUGCGCUCGCUCUCUCUUUCUCGAGAGCUGAUGGAGACCUCAAAGGUAUUUCCCUUCACAAAACCUUGUCAUUCACAACGUUUCUUAGCUUCUCUCAGGCGGAUCGCUUCCAAGUGUUAUAACGCAGGGCGUGAACGCCAAAAAACUCCACGAGGUAUGUCACUCCUCUCCAUCGAUCGUCUUUGAGAAGACUCGCGUUUAGAUUCUUUCCAGAUUGAAAGACUUUCUUCGUUGAUAGUAAACAUCUCUCGCGUUGUCAACGCUACAGAAAUCGUGGACGUCGGUGCUGACCAGGUAAACAUCCAUCAUUCUCCGGUGUAUCAUUCACGGGCAUUUUGUUUCUUCCUAGGGGUAUCUUGCGCAAGUCUUGGCGUUCCACCACAAACUUCCAGUAGUCGCAGUAGAUUGCUCGGUGCACAAACACAACCGUGACAAACAAACGCGCUGACUGGAUCCAAAGAUACUACGCUUCUCGCUCCGGUAAGCUUGAGUUGGUGCCAUUCUUGUCAACCGGUUUUUCUUAUCUAGACAUGAGUACUUGCCCAGCAAAUGCUGGGUGGUUUACAAAGAGGUUCAAUAUAAAACCUUUUUAUAGAUAGUGUUAAUUGUAAAAACAGAAGGAUUUUGAGGAAGGAGGUGGCUUUGGCAUGUGGUGUUUUGAAUUUUAAUUCCAAGUCCAUGUGGUGAUGUGCAUUUUGAUAAAGCCACAUAAAGUUGCCCAUGAGUGAAAACUGAGUGGGGCAAGUAAACUUUAACUCGGUCAAAUGUCUGUCCUUGGCAUUUGGAAAUUGUUAAGCAGUAACCCAAGCAAAUUAGAAAUUGUUGUUUGGACAUUUUGUAUUUGAUAGUAUUAGUGUGAUAUGUGGGAUAAAAACUCGUGUCCCUUUAAAUUGCCCCAUCACAAUUUCACAACCUAAAACAUUUGGUAGUGCAUUUUUCAGGAUGAGAUGUGUGCCGUUGCAUAGUCCUAUUGAUGGAAACAUAUUUCUUAGAUAAAAAUAACACCUUGUUUGAGAGAGAGUUUAUGUGGUGGGAGACUAGAAGGUGUGAUAGAAUUUAAAAAUUCUGUCGGAAAAUUUUCAGGAUGUUCAAUGUCAACAAAAUCAAUGCUUUUGUAGAUGUAUGUAUCACCUUGUAAUCUAGAGACAAUAGUGUUGUUGAUUGCAAAUGUAUCAUCAUUAAGUGGGGUAAGUAUGACUCAAUUGGCUGCAAUAUAACGGUUUGAAAUAUGAAGUACUGAAGGGUAGACAAAAUCAAUAAUUGAUGAAUAAAUUAGUUGUGUAUGAGGUAAUAAAAUGGAGUUAGAAGGUAAAGAUGGUAAAUUUUUAAAAUUUUUAUUAUUUCCAACUUUGAGAAGCCAUUCAGACCAUGAUUUAUCACUUUUAGCAAGCCGUAUAUUUGUUUUCAAAGAUAAUUUUCUAAAUAAUCUCCAUAAUUUAUUCAUUCUUACAGAACUUAAAACAAUUUAUGCCCUAUGUUCAUAUGGAAUGAUUGGAAGUGUUUGUUUAAAGUCCUCGUUAGUGACAACAAUUAUGCCACCAAAAGGUAAUGAUGUAUUUUUUAGGUCUCGCAACACUCAAUCAAUAGUAGUGAAUGCAUGAGUGUGAACCAUACUUAUUUCAUCCCAUAACAAUAUGUUAGUAGUUUUGAUUUUUAUACUUACUUCACUAUUAGCAGUUAUAGCGAAAGUUAAUGUUUCAUUUAUUGGAACAAAAAGUUUAAAAGUAAUAUGUGAAGUUCGGCCAUUAUAAAGUAAAGUACUUGCAAUUCCUAUCCAAACCAUGCUAACAACAUUUUUUUUUUCAGUUGUAAAAUAUUUAUAAGAGUAAAACAUGAAAUGUUUUACCAGUACCACCAGGGCAAAUGUAUCGAUUAUGCUCAGUUGGGUGAUCAAUAACAUUAAGAAUAUCAUUAAAAAUAUUUAACUGUUCUUGAUUAAAUCGAGGAAUAUUUUGUUCAACAUUUUGAUAUAUUUGUGUUGAGUUGACAAUAUUUUCAUCAUCAAGAUUUUGAGAUGGCAAAGGUAGAUGAUAGUUUCGAUUAGUUUUGCCAUGCAUUUCAUUUUAAUUAUUAUAUCAUGUAAAGCAUGUUUAUAAUGAAAAAUUGGAUUUGUUUGCAUGAAAUCCUUAGAGAGGAAGUUUUUAAAUUUAUCCCAUAAGAAGUAAAGAUCUUUUGGAGUGCAAAAGAUACAAAGUAAUACAAAUAAUUGUCUUAAUUGUUAUAGCAUUUUAAAAAAGCAAGCAUCUUCUAAACAUUUUUCCCAUUUAGUAUCAUCAAUUAUAAACCCCAUUGCAUCUGCAACUUGUUGAAAUGUGUCAUAAUAAAUAUUGUUAACUGUCUUGAGAUCUUUAAAAGACAUAGCACCUUUUUUAUGGAGUAAAAUAAAACAUAAAUGAUAUAAUUCAACAUUAGAUGGCGACAUAGAAUACAUUCGGGGAAUGACAUUUCUUGUAUGUCGAAUUUUCCAGUUAUGAGUAUGAGGGUUAAAUGUAUAAUAUAAAGGGAUUUCAGGAUAUGUAUAUUGUCUAGCAUUUGGGUCAUUUAUAUUUAAUUCAAACCAUUUUGUUAACAUCGUACUAUUUUGAGUAGCUCUUUGAAGUGCUAUUUGUUCAGAAUCUUCUAUAAAAUAGAUGUUUUGAAAAUUUGGAAGAUGGAUAGGAAGAAGGAUUAUAGGGGUCAAACGACCAUGCAUUUUAAAUUUAAAAAGUCUCCAUAUUGCCUCUAGAGUAGAUACAUAACGUGUAUUUAAAAAUGUUGAGAUUUCAUCAAUUUAAAAUAUUAUCAGGUUGUUGCGUUGUUGAAUGGAUUUCAAUUGUAGCAUAAUUAUAAUCUUUAUAAACAUAUUGAAAUAAAUAUUUAAUACUUUUUAUAGUAGCACAAGUUUCAAUAUUAAUAUGAGCAUUAUAUUUUUUACAAAGGUAUUUAUUAUAAGGCACUACCCAAUGAUUAUCAAUAUAACACCCAUUUUUUAGAAAUGUACGGCCAUUAUUAGGUCUAUAAUAAUCUGAAUAUCCAUCAACACUAAAAGUAGUUUCAUAAUUAAAUUUUUUUGGAUAACCUUUUGAGCAAGUGCCAUUUUCCAUGCAAAGACUAUUAGGGUAAAGACGCUCACAUGGACUAUAUAUCAUAUGAGAUGUAAUUAUUUUAGAAAUUUCAAGUUCAUUUUGAGGAUCAAACAAUUGUGCCGUUAUGUAUUGGUUAAUAGCAUAACGGUCUUUAAUCUUGUUUUCAUGAGAUAAAAUGUGGAAGGCCUCUUUUUUGAAAUUCAAUUACAUAUAUAAAAGCAAUACAAUUUCCAAAAAUAUGUUUUUUAGUAAUAUCAUUCAAAAAUUCUUUAAGUUUGAUAUAAAAUACUCUAGAAACCAAGUCUGGACGAUCCUUAGGGCUUUCAUUUGGAUGUAAGUUCUUAGAAAUUUCUGGCCAUUUGGGAUUACAUGUAAAAGUAAUGAAAAGAUCUGGCUUUGAAAAAUGAGUAACUAUAGCCAUUGCAUCUUGAUAAUUUUAUUGCAUUGCUCUAGGGCCACCCCCAAAACUUGAAGGUAAAAUAACAAUUUUGCUUGGAUUUAUAUUUUCAUUAGUAACACGGUUUGCAACAUAAUCCAUAAAACUAGUAUACAUUUCAACUCGCAAUUGUUUCUGAUGAGUGCGAUAGUAAUUCAAAUUAUUGCUUUCAACUUUUAUAUAAGCAUCGACAAUAUAUUGUUAUGUGAGUUUUCCUACAUGUAAAAUUUGAUCAAAACCAAAGUGUAUUGUGUCUCUUAUAGAUAAGCGGUAUGCAUAAUAUUGGAGUAAUGUAAUUCGACGUCUGGAAUUAAAAAUAUUUUUGUGCCAACUUCUGUCACCAAAAGGAAAUAUUAAUGGGUAAACCAUUGGAUCACAAUUAUAAUCAAGUGUUGAGAUACAUUUAGAAUUGCUUACAGUUGGAUAUAUACAAAUUUCAUGACUAUGUGUCGCGCAUGUGACUUUGGGUAUCGAAAAUUACCUGUCGACCAGUCCUUACGGACACUCUUACCUUACUGCCACGAUGGCAGGAGGUCGGUAUUGCUGGUUCCUUUUAUCAGCCCCUCUUGUUCAAGUGUUAGUUUACUGGGCUUAGCACCUGUACUUAACUAGAUGGACAUAAGGUAGGAACUCCUAUGUGUUUCUAGCUGAGCAUACUCGGCCUGGGUCUUAGUUCUCUUUUGCUCUGUCUUGCACUGGCUUGACAAGAACCCUCGUGUAUUGAGAUUGGUCCCUCAAUAUUGCCGGAUGAUAGCUUACCGUGUCUGCCAAACACCCUCACUAUCAUGCCCUUUGUGUUAGUCUCAAUUCGGUCCCAAAUGCUAUUUAUGGAAAGUGUCCAGAUUUACUUAUUUGGCAUAUCUACGGAAUGUAGAGAUUGUCUUGAACACAAUUGUGUUCGUCCCGUGUCCAAAUUUGCAAUCUAAGGACAUUCCAUAUUUAGUAAGUUUCAAAUUUGUCCCAAAGACUAACUCCUGAUACUAAGGGAGGCUUGGGGUGAAAGCCCAAAGCGUGUGUUCCUCAAGGGGGGGGGGCUGUAGGGGGUUCCAAAUGUCCAAAUGUAUAGUAGGGAUAGUGGGUAGGUCGGGCAUGGCCGACCAACUUGAGGCAUAGUCUAGCUCCCGCUUGCGUGCUUGUCCUUGUUCUGCGUCCGGCUUGGGUCUAAGCCCAAGUUCCAUUCCAUGCUAGUUGGUGGAAUACCCAUAUCCUCACGUUAGGCCACCGGUAUGCCGAAAUAGCGCCAGACUCCAUUUGGCUCCGUUUUGCGUGCUGGUCCUGGCAUUGGGAUGCUGGUUGCUCCAGGACUGUUCCAAGUCGCUCUGGGCUCCUGUCCCUUCACUCCUUGGGCUUUAUGCUCGGGAGUUGCUCCGUGGUUCGGUUCCGACACUCCUUGGCUCCAUGCUUGGGAGUUUGGCACCGUUCUAUCGUUCAGUGGCCCAAGGCCCUGAACCUCGGGUUCCUAUGGACACGUGGCAUGGACACGUGGUAUGUGACAUGUGGCAUCUGUCACAUGGCACAAAGAGGGUUUAGGUUCCGCAAGGUAAAUCACCAUAGGAUAAAGGGUCAAAACCACGUGCACUACAUUUGGCAUUAGAGGAUGAGUCUCAACGAGUACUAUUCAAUGAGAUUGGGCAACUAGUCUCGUUGCAUACACAGAGAUGAAAACGAUGAUCCGAGUGGGUACACGUUUGGUGUAAGGGGUUCACAUUCGUUCCUUGGGUAUGGUUUUGGUUACCUUUUAUACCUAAUAAUGUGAGCUUGCUCUUGGGCUCAUAGGAUGGAUUUGAGAUGCUCCGUUAGCACGAGUUUAUGCUUGGGCUCGUGAGUGAGGCACAUUAGCAACUCAAGGUUAUACUUUGAGUUGGCAGGAUUAAUGUUAGCCUAUCGGUGGUUCCAUGAGUUGUUCCAGUGGUUCUAUGAGUUGUUCCAUGUACCGUGGGUGAAAGCAAACCUCCUUGAGUUUGCUAUGAAUGGCAAAUAGGCUAGUCCGUAGCUAUUUAGCACGGCACUAAUAGAUCUUUCCUAGGCAUGAUUACAAGUGAAUCAACCAAGAUUGUAGGGAAGUCUAUUGGUUCAAGUAAUCAUUGUCGUGCUCUCUCAUAAACUUUUCUUGGAUUGGACUGAAAGCAGUGCGAAAGCAAGCUUGAGGUUUAGUCAAAGAUGAGACCGAAAAGAGAGUCGUCGGGGACGAAGGAUCAAACACGUAAAUCAUUUUCUUUUUUUGAGGAAAUGAUUCGUAAUGAGGUGUUAACUCAUUGCUCGUGUUCACAUUAUGCAAUCAAGAGUCAUUACCUUAAUGCAUCUUGGAGAUGAUAAUCUUACAAAUGGUGAGUUAUGGGAUGGAUAGCAGUGAAGCGCUAUACCAUUUUGUCUAGGCUUGCUAUUGGAAGAUUUGGGUUGCAAUGCUCAAUUCUUUUCCAGGGAACCUUGCUAUUGCUCCUUGAGUAGCUUGGUGUUGGGUUAAGUUUUGAGUUUGGUCGAAAAGCGAGUAGCAUGAGCUUGUCCGUGUUGUGAACAAAAAUUGGUGGUGUUCAGUGUUGUAAAUCUCUAUUGGUGGAGUGUGGCAUUUAUGUUGCAUUUUGUCGAAUUGAGUUGGCACUUGAUGCUCACAUAAACCUUUGAAGUAAUGACAUGGGUGUUGCUCAUGGUGUUGCUUAAUUGAUGAUCAAAUCAUUGUAAUUUUGUAUCAUAUCCAUGUGAUAAUGAGCAAUGUGUUUACGAAGUUGCUUGGUUAAAUGAUGAUCAACCCCAAAGUGGUUGAUGGUGAAGCUAAUCUACUUGCACGGAGUAGCAUUGUAGUAGCUUUGAUUGGAUUCUCGAUAGUGGUCCAUUAUGCUAAGCUUAAGUUGGUUCCUUAGUUCCUUGAGUUUGCCCAUUGAGGUGUUGGAAAGGGUUCUAGCAUCCAUUUGCUAUAGCUCAUUAGUUGAUCCGUUAACACUUGGAAUAGAUUGUUGGAUAGAGAAGGUGUAAGGUUGAGGCAAUGACAUUACUAACACUUGUGUUAGUGGAAGUGGCAUUGUUAUUUUAAGUGAUGAGGAAGUUUCCUUAAAGCUUGAUUUUCCAUGUCAUUUUUCUUAUUAGUGUUUUAGUUUCACAUUAGAUCUUGAAGGUGGUUGAAAAAAAGUGUUGGUGCAAUGUGGAUAUCUGAAGAUGUGGUCUUCGUGAUCAAGCAUUGGAUAUUCCAUUUGCAUUUUUACGGAUAUCGGUGUUGGAUGACAAAAGAAUGGGCAAAAAGAUGUUCAAGGCUUAAGCAUACUAUGGGUCAUGAGAAUUUAUGUUGAGGUGAACCUAUGUGAAGUUGUUAGUAGGAGGAAGUUGGUUGAGUUUUGAAAGUUUGUAUUCCUAGACUAGGAGUCAUUCUUUCUCUGGGAUGGAAAGAUUUUCCACAAAUUUUCUUAGACUUUUCCAAUGGCUGAUUUGUUAUCACUUUGCUCGAAAACCAUUCCGUUUUCGAAAGCUAAUACAAACUAGUGAAGGGGUUGGAGUUGACUUCGGUUAGCUUAGACCUUAAUAUGUAGUUUGUAUGAUGCAGACCGAAAGGGAUGCUAACUUUUGGGGCUAAGGCAAUUGAGUUGAAUAGAGUCUGGAGUUGGUGUAAAAAAGUGGCCAUUGCACUUUUCUAAGAAGGGUGACCCUUGUGCCUUUCUUUUGUAGCGUUAUGCUUGGUGGCAAGUUGCACCUUGCAGUUUGUUAGACUCUAUGAGAGUAGUGAGCUCUCAUUGAUCUUGACUUGGACUUGUGUGAGACACAAAAUCCCUAGGCCCCAAAGUGGAGCCAGAAGGGCGCCACAUGGUAGUGGCCGAAGUGAGAGCCAAAUGAGUGUAACGCGUUUGGACCAAAAGCUCCGACUUGAAAAGUCAAGAGCGGGAGUGGAACUCCCAACGAAGUGCUCGAGGAACAAGCACGAAGCGAGCAAAAGGCGAGGCUCCAAAAAGGGACCCAAAAGGACCAACACAUGACACGUGGGAGUGUCCGAGAUGGACCCGAGUUGGAGUCCAAAGUGGAGUCCGAGAUGGACCCGAGUUGGAGUCCGAAGUGGAGUCUAAGAUGGACCCGAGUUGGAGUCCGAAGUGGAGUCCGAGAUGGACCCGAGAUGGAGUCCGAGGUGGACCCGAGAUGGACCCGAAAUGGAGUCCGAGAUGGAGUCCGAGAUGGACCCGAGAUGGAGUCCGAGAUGGAGUCUGAGAUGGAGUCCGAGAUGGAGUCCGAGAUGGAGUCCGAGAUGGAGUCUGAAGUCGAGACCGAGACCGGGACCGAGACCGGGACCGAGACCGAGACCGAGACCGAGACCGAGACCGAGACCGCGAUCGGGACCGAGGCCGAGGCCGAGACCGAGCCCGAGCCCGAGUCCGAGUCCGAAUCCGAGUCCGAGUCUGAGUCCGAGUCCGAGUCCGAGUCCAGAGCCUGAGAGGGUGAAAGCCCAAAGCGUUCGUCUCCCAGACCCUGGGGGGUUUGGUGAGCUCCAAAAGUAUAGUAGGGGGAGGACUGCAGUGGAGCCAGUUUGGCCAGGAAAGGCCAGUUUGGCCCAGGAAGGCCGGACCCAGUGUUGGGUGAUGAGCUGCCCACUGGGAAGUCCAAGACUAGAGUGAACACGGACCGACAAGCGGGGUAGCUUGGUGAAGUGUUCAAGAACCGGCUCUAGUUCCCCCGGGAGAUCGACUGGCCGAUGCUCCCAGUCCAAGUGUGGGUGGCACUACCUACUUGGAUACCUGGUGUGGCUCAACGGAACCCGCUCUAAGCCCAUGGCUAGAGCACCCAAGGGCAGAAGGCGAGGAGAGUACCCAGGUGGCUCGCGUAAGGCCACGGUGUUCCGAAAUGUUGUCCCAAAGGCCCAGACUGUGGAAAGGAAGAGGAGCAGUCCUCUGGGGUAGUGACCAAGGACACAGUCAUGUGGUGAGGAAGUCCCAGAGGACCGUGGGACUUAGUGGUCGGGCUUGUGGGUCUCGAUCCAGUGGCAGUGUUGGCAAACACUUCCAGGGGCAGAAAGGGACUUAGUGGGGACUGACAGAGGGAUAUUGGGGAAGGCUAUUCCCCUUGUCGGUGGGCAUCCUAAGGAUGCUAAGGAGUGGAUCUGAGAUGACCACUCACGGAUGGUUUGCCUAGUCUUGGAGAGCCAAGACGGUGAUGCAAGUGGUAUUGGACUACCAGUGUGGCAAAGGUGAUUGGGCAUGGCCUUAGCGUAACGGGCUGCUAUGUCGGUGGUACCUUUGAGUGUCGGUCAUGGGAUCGGACACGUGGAGCACUUGGACCAAGUGCAAAUGUUGAGUGGCAUGGAUGCUAUUCUCGGGGCUAGCAAGUCCCAAGUCCUGGAUUGGACUUAUGGAGGUUGUGAAUGAGACUCCUCCAAGUGGUCAGAGGUGUGGUUAAGUGACUAAAGUAGAAUGGAAAAUUUAGUCUCUUACAACUUGGUGGCUCUGCAACUUGGCUGAGGAUAGUGAUGUCCAACUUAGUUGUUUGUAGUUGAGAUGUUGGUACCUAUACUAUAGCUUUGUUUAAGUGGAGGUUGUGUACCGAUAUGAGUCCAUCUCGUAGUCUUCACUUUAGUUUCGACUAAGUGUUGAUUACGCAUAGUUAGCCUCUUCAAGGCAUGCUCAGAGCCGUUGGCUAAAUGUAUUGGUGAGCUUAUUGUGGUUGAGUUGGAUUUGAGUGGUCAUUUGGUUUGUGCUUGUCUAUGAACUUUUAUCUCAUACCGGAGGUAACACGUUUAUGUUGGACAAGUGUAUGACUCGAUGACGUGAGUUUAGUGUUUGGGUCUCGUGAAAGCAAGUUGAAAAAGUGAUGGUUAGUUGCUUUGCAACUAAUGAUUGCUUGUAGACUUUGUCAAGGACUGUUGACACUUUCUUCGCUCGAUGAUAAUUUAGCAGUGAUAGGCUUGCUUUACCGAAUGGUGUUGCGGAGGAACGUGUCGUUAAACUUCCAUGGGUAUUCCAUGUUGGCAUGUCGACUCUACCUCUGUUGAUAUCAUUUGGUUGCGUUUAGUUCAUAGUGUUGGAUUUCAUGGAGUCUUGGACGUGGUGAUUCAUUCCUUGAGGAAGUGUUAUCUGUACCUGAGUAUUGUUGAGAGAUUGGUCUCGGAUACUAAGUAAAGUAUCUCCGACUUUGGUUAGCUUGGUUGCUAGAAAGUUUUGAGUGGUGAUUCACUCUUGCUUUCUACUAGCUUUGUUCUGUUGUUGAUGGCAUUGAAGUGAUGCCUUAUCGUUGACAUUAUUGAGGUUGAGAUUUUAGUGAAAUGGGAUGUCUCUCCACAAGAUUGAUAUCGAGUUUCAUUAGUUUUGAUGGAAAUAGUGUUCAUGAUUUGGCUAUGACUUUGUGUUAUUGGCAUUCGUGCAUUUGCUAGUUAGCAACUGUCAUGAUGUUCACAUGAACUGAGUGGCAAGUUUGAGUUAGUUGUGUUCUAGAUGAGAUUGUUUAGUAAGGGUUAAGCUUUGGCUUUUCCUUGAAAAGUGGUUCAGUCAAGGACUAUGCUAACUCUACAAGUGGAAGAGUUAGUGAUUGAUAUUGGAAUAUUUGAAUCCUUAUGGGAUUUUAGUUGAAAUAUAUUGAUCAUUGAUAAUUCUUCUUGUGUUUGUUAUGAAGUGAGUUACGUCUUGCUAUAGAUGGAUUCAUGGAGGAUCGUUUGGUGAUCACUUGUUGAGCAUAGCUUCGUUGUGCUUAGCUUUUGGAUUGAUGCAGAUAUGCUCUUCAUUAGCUUUGGCAUUAUGAAGUUUAGCUUAUGGAUGUGUUGAGGAAGAUAUUGUGGAUUGCACUAUGAUUUCUUCAAUAACAUUGAAGUUAGUUCAUGCAAAACUUGUGAUCAUUAUUAGGCAAGACUUGGCUAUAAGUUUCUUCGAGCUUUUGGUUCCUUGAGGUUUUAUGCUUGUGGUCCAUUUGUUAGAAGUUGUUGGGGAAAGCAUUUUUGUCUCAUUAGCUUCGAUGUUGAAGUUGGCUUUUGCAUUUAGCAAUCAUUGGUUAUAAUUGACUAUCAUUUAGAAUAGUUCAUUGUCAUUGUCAAAGGUUUUACUUGAUUAUUAUUGGUAUAGAAUGAUUUACCGUUCUUCGGGAUGGUAAAUUGUUUCUUCGACAAUGAUAAUGCAUCUCCUUAUUGAUAAAAUGAUUGAUGAUCUUUCAUGGUGGUUAUUUGUUCUCUUUGAUGGCUUAUGGCUUUUCGCAAUAUCACAUGUUCUUUGUGAUUUGCUCUGGAUUGGUCUUUUGGGUUUGAGACAUCAGUAGGAUAUUACUAACACUUGCUUAGGCAACUUGAGUUCCUUUGUAUUGUUGGCUGGGAUCUAUUCAGAUUGGCUUUUGUGAUAGUUGGCAGGAAUGAAUGUUGUUGGUCUUACCACAUUUAUUCUCUUCUGUUGAUUGUUGCUCGAGUUAGUUUUGAUAGAUUUGGAUGUUAUUUCCUUUGGGUGAUACAUUCGCGAGCAUUGUGCUUGUUAGUCAAUGAUACUUUGUGUUCUUUGAGUUCUCUCUAGUAAGUUGUUAACUUACUGUCUACUAUCUUCGGUAGUUAAGUUUCAUCAUUGAGUUUCCUUGAUGAUAUACUAGCUAUGGAUGGUCAUUCCUGUGUUUGCCAAAUUAUGAUGAUCUUGGUGGUUCCUGCACUAUUAUACUGAUUUAUCAAAUGAUAACUUUCUUGGAAUACUUUUGUGUUCUAAUCUAAGAUAUAUUCACUGAUAGUUAAGUCUCUAAGAUAUCAUUGUUUAUGACUUUGAUAUUGUCCAUCUAUUGAUCUUUGAGUUUGGGCCAAUAUAGGCAGACUGGCUUCGGCACUUCGUGUGCAUGGUGAAAUCUCUAGUCAUGGGGUAGCUACUAUCGACUGGUCACAUAACCCGCCUCUCUGUCGAUGUUCCUUAUUCCGUUAAAAGGGCGUGACCGUGUAAACAACUCUAACUGCCUGUUUACAGUAGUCUAUCUAAACCUUACCGACGGGUUUGGUUUCUUUGCUCAUGAGGGUUGGGGCCUCUGGCUUCUCUCUCUAUGUCUCUGCGGGCAGGGCAUAUCACACUUUUGUAAGCUGGGUGACUCCCAGAGCACCAAGGGUGGCUGACUCCGUUAGUCAUUUCUUUGUCGGCGACGGCCGGAAGGUGUCUGAGUUGGUAGCGCAUCCGCGUUAGACAAAGAGGUUACCCCUAACUCAUUUAAGUUGGUGCAUUUCUCACAUAGUGUGAGUACUGUGAACUUUUUCUUGAGUUGUUUCCUUGGCGGUAUUCUAGAGUUGAGUAUGCAUCGACGAGGACGUCGAUCUUCCCUAGGGGGGGAGAGUGUCACGCAUGUGACUUCGGGUAUCGAAAAUUACUUGUCAACCAGUCCUUGCAGACACUUUUACCUUACUGCCACGAUGGCAGGAGGUCGGUAUUGCUGGUUCCUUUUAUCAGCCCCUCUUGUUCAAGUGUUAGUUUACUGGGCUUAGCACCUGUACUUAGCCAGAUGGACAUAAGGUAGGAACUCCUAUGUGUUUCUAGCUGAGCAUACUCGGCCUAGCUCUUAGUUCUCUUUUGCUCUGUCUUGCACUGGCUUGACAAGAACCCUCGCGUAUUGAGAUUGGUCCCUCAAUAUCGCCGGAUGAUAGCUUACCAUGUUUGCCAAACACCCUCGCUAUCAUGCCCUUUGUGUUAAUCUCAAUUCAGUCCCAAAUGCUAUUUAUGGAAAGUGUCCAGAUUUGCUCAUUUGGCAUAUCUACGGAAUGUAGAGAUUGUCCUGAACACAAUGGUGUUCGUCCCGUGUCCAAAUUUGCAAUCUAAGGACAUUCCAUAUUUAGUAAGUUUCAAAUUUGUCCCAAAGACUAACUCCUGAUACUAAGGGAGGCUUGGGGUGAAAGCCCAAAACUUGUGUUCCUCAAGGGGAGGGGGGGGAUGUGGGGGGUUCCAAAUGUAUAGUAGGGAUAGUGGGUAGGUCGGGUAUGGCCGACCAACCUAAGGCAUAGUCUAGCUCCCGCUUGCGUGCCUAUCCUUGUUCUGCGUCCGGCUUGGGUCUAAGCCCAAGUUCCAUUCCAUGCUAGUUGGUGGAGUACCCAUAUCCUCACGUUAGGCCACCGGUAUGCCGAAAUAGCGCCAGACUCCAUUUGGCUCCGUUUUGCGUGCUGGUCCUGGCAUUGGGAUGCUGGUUGCUCCAAGACUGUUCCAAGUCGCUCCGGGCUCCUGUCCCUUCGCUCCUUGGGCUUUAUGCUCGGGAGUUGCUCCGUGGUUUGGUUCCGACACUCCUUGGCUCCAUGCUUGGGAGUUUGGCACCGUUCUAUCAUUCAGUGGCCCAAGGCCCUGAACCUCGGGUUCCUAUGGACACGUGGCAUGUGACACGUGGCAUCUGUCACGUGGCACAAAGAGGGUUUAGGUUCCGCUUCGUGGUGUUAUCCUAUGGUAAAUCACCAUAGGAUAAAGGGUCAAAACCACAUGCGCUACACUAUGUGGCAGUUUUCCAUCAUCACUAACAAACACAACAGCAACAUCAUUUGUCUCUGGAGCAUUAUAGUGUCGUGGAUCAGUUUCUUUAGUUUUUAAUAACAUAUAAAUACCACGUAUAGGAUAACCUGAAAGUGUAGCAGAACAAAUUUUUUCUUGUUCCAUUUUAUACAUCAUUUUGAAAGCUUGAGCAUAUGGGUUAACAUGACGAAGGAGAGCAUCACAAUGUUUAAAUAAGUUUAUCUCACAGCUUGAAUUAAAAGGGUUUUGCUUUCUGAUAUUUGUAGCUUCUAGAGUAUCAAGCAUAUAAAGUUGUCCAUAAGUUCGAUAUUGACCUUCAGAAGGAUGUGCUGAAACAAUAUUAUGAUAUAUUUGACCAUGGAUUUUAAAGCAAUAAGGACCAUGACCUUUUACAAUAUCAAUAUUAGAAGACAUAGAUACAAAAGCAAGAGCACUAUUGUAGUGUUUAAUAUUUGUUUUAAAAUUAGAGUUCUUAUUUUGCUUGUAAAGUGAAAGUAAAUCAAAUGGUAAAGGUGAAAUUGGAGGUAAUAUAACUUGGUUAUUCUAGCAACACAUUGAAGAGUUUUCAUCUUUAAAAUACAAUGCAUUAGAAAAAAGUACAAACAAAUGUUAAACUACCAAUAUUGUUAAAGUCAUUAUAAAUGCUAUGGCUUGCUAGUGUGGUAUUCAUAGGUGGGUGUGGUGGAUUUAAUAUUGCUUGAUAUAUGUAAUUGUCAUAAUUACAUAGGUUCCAGAUGCUUCUGAGUGUCCAACUGAUUGCUAUAUAUAAUCAUUAUCAUGAUUAAUAUUUUGGUGUAUAGAAUCAUUAUCAUGAUUAUUUUGAACAACUAUAGUAUGUGUAUCAUAAUCAAUCAUAGUUUCAGAGGCAUCUAAAUCUCCAUUAGAUUGUUUACUAUGUCGUAUGGUUCUCAAAAGAUGGUGGAGGCAAGGCAUUUUCAGUCACUUUGAUUAUAUUUUUGAUUAUAUAUAUAUUUUUUUAAUUGAGUUUGUAUAAAAGUUUAUGCAGAAUAGAAAUGCAGACUACAGUUGGAUAUAUAUAAAUUUCACAACUAUGUAAUGAUCUGAAAGGAAAAUAUUAGACUUUUGCGAAGCACACUCAAGAACAACAAAAUAACUCCAAUAUUGUGUUUACCAAUCUCUACCUCAUAACCCACAGCUUUGCAAUUUUGAGCUGCAGCCACAAGUGCUGCUCCUAUGCCAGCAUCAGGUUACCUGGCACAGCAUCCCAGCACAGCAUCGUUGAGACCGGCCCUCAAACUCUUGGAAACUGGAACUAAAUUUUAGAUUCGACAGAAGCAGUAUCGGACAGAAAAAAAAUCUCAUCAUAGAAUACAAAGAUAUUCAAACUUACAACUUACCUCGAUCUAAAAACGAAGCUAAACCAGGUGAUGCUUGCGGUGGCACUUGCUACUUCUCCUUCUCUUUCAAGGAAAAGGAUUUCCAAAACUUUAGGAGCAGUGCUAGCUGGCGCAGCCACUCAACAGCCCUACGUCAACUUGAAACACCUGGUUCCUACAAACGGAGUUGAUCCCGAGCAUGUGCUGAAAUAAAAAUCCCUCACAGGCCCAGCAGCAAGGAUUCCUCGAGAGAAUCCAGGGAUGAAGAGGGAGUGUCCUUGAUAAUUGCUUUCCUGUAGGCCAAAGAGCUCAUGAGGUAGUGGCGAAUAAGGAUCAAAGCUUUGCUGACUUGGAAAUGAGCCAAUUUGCCUCUCACAGUCCUGAGUUGAUCCUGAGAAGAGCCUGGAUUGUGUGCCCGACUACCAUUCUACUCGCCCCUGCUACUUACCAGGCACAGGCUCUCACGAAAAAUGCCCACACAACCGUGUCUGACCAGAGCAGCCAUGGAGCCCUAGGAGUGCAUGGCAUAACACUUGUCACCAUGCCCUCUUCCCUUCCCGGCCACACGUGCAUCCCGCCCAUUGGCCACCACAACAUUGAGCCGAUAUUCCCGCUAACCAUGGCCACCGGCCCUGGCCCGAGCCUGGGCUGGCCUCCCCUUGCCGAGAACCAUGGCUUCCGAGGCUGCCCCGGGCCUGGGAUUGGACGGCUGCAGGGGUGUGGGUUCUUCGUUCUUAUUGUAAGAUAUAGUUUUUGAUGAAAAGUUUUUAAAGCGCUGAUUUUAGGGUUCUUGAGCUAUGGAGCGACGAUGCUUCACAGGCGCUGGACUUCUUCCGGGUACAGCGCAUCGCGCGAUUUUCUCUUUCGCGAGCUUGGAAAUGUCAAUCCAGGGGCGUUUGUGGCAGAUUUUGGACACGCAAUGGCUCCUGGCACUGAGGAAUUUGUCAAUGGAGGAUCUUCUUCUCCUUCCAUCGCAUAUGAGAGUCCCUUCGGUCCUUUGUUUCUCGUGCAUUGACGGCGGGGAUGGAAGGCCUUAGGAUUGCUGGCCCAAGACGCUCCAGGAUUUGCUCUCUCGAGAGGUGAAGGAGACCUCAAAGGUAAUUCUUUUCGCAAAACCUUGUCAUUGACAAUGUUUCUUAGCUUCUCUCAGGAAGUGUUUUAACGCAUGGCGUGAACGCCAGGAAACCAUGAGGUAUGCAUCUCCUUCAAUCCAUCGAUCGUUUUUGAGAAAACUCGCGUUUAGAUUCUUUCCAGAUUGAAGGACUUUCUUCGUUGGUGGUAAACGCGUCGAACGAUACUAGCCAUUCUUGUCAACCGUUUCAAAGCAUCGUGCCACACAAAACCGCAACCUUUCUCGGCGACGAGGACGUGUAGCUGGAUGCAUUCUUGUCGUCCAUUAGAAUUCGCGAGCAACGUAAGCCAUGACUGCAUGCCUGUGGAGAUCUCUUGGCGAACAUGUUGAGGUGAG
rnacentral:lncRNA from 1 species